rnacentral:rRNA from 1 species
GACGAACGCUGGCGGCGUGCUUAACACAUGCAAGUCGAACGGUGAAGCUCCAGCUUGCUGGAGUGGAUCAGUGGCGAACGGGUGAGUAACACGUGAGCAACCUGCCCCAGACUCUGGAAUAAGCGCUGGAAACGGCGUCUAAUACUGGAUACGAGAUCAAGCCGCAUGGUUAUGGUCUGGAAAGUUGUUCGGUUUGGGAUGGGCUCGCGGCCUAUCAGCUUGUUGGUGAGGUAAUGGCUCACCAAGGCGACGACGGGUAGCCGGCCUGAGAGGGCGACCGGCCACACUGGGACUGAGACACGGCCCAGACUCCUACGGGAGGCAGCAGUGGGGAAUAUUGCACAAUGGGCGAAAGCCUGAUGCAGCGACGCCGCGUGAGGGAUGACGGCCUUCGGGUUGUAAACCUCUUUCAGCAGGGAAGAAGCGAAAGUGACGGUACCUGCAGAAGAAGCACCGGCUAACUACGUG